UUAAGUUAUUAAGGGCGCACGGUGGAUGCCUUGGCACUAGAAGCCGAUGAAGGACGUUACUAACGACGAUAUGCUUUGGGGAGCUGUAAGUAAGCUUUGAUCCAGAGAUUUCCGAAUGGGGAAACCCAGCAUGAGUUAUGUCAUGUUAUCGAUAUGUGAAUACAUAGCAUAUCAGAAGGCACACCCGGAGAACUGAAACAUCUUAGUACCCGGAGGAAGAGAAAGAAAAUUCGAUUCCCUUAGUAGCGGCGAGCGAAACGGGAAGAGCCCAAACCAACAAGCUUGCUUGUUGGGGUUGUAGGACACUCUAUACGGAGUUACAAAGGACGACAUUAGACGAAUCAUCUGGAAAGAUGAAUCAAAGAAGGUAAUAAUCCUGUAGUCGAAAAUGUUGUCUCUCUUGAGUGGAUCCUGAGUACGACGGAGCACGUGAAAUUCCGUCGGAAUCUGGGAGGACCAUCUCCUAAGGCUAAAUACUCUCUAGUGACCGAUAGUGAACCAGUACCGUGAGGGAAAGGUGAAAAGCACCCCGGAAGGGGAGUGAAAUAGAACCUGAAACCGUGUGCUUACAAGUAGUCAGAGCCCGUUAAUGGGUGAUGGCGUGCCUUUUGUAGAAUGAACCGGCGAGUUACGAUUUGAUGCAAGGUUAAGCAGUAAAUGUGGAGCCGUAGCGAAAGCGAGUCUGAAUAGGGCGUUUAGUAUUUGGUCGUAGACCCGAAACCAGGUGAUCUACCCUUGGUCAGGUUGAAGUUCAGGUAACACUGAAUGGAGGACCGAACCGACUUACGUUGAAAAGUGAGCGGAUGAACUGAGGGUAGCGGAGAAAUUCCAAUCGAACCUGGAGAUAGCUGGUUCUCUCCGAAAUAGCUUUAGGGCUAGCCUCAAGUGAUGAUUAUUGGAGGUAGAGCACUGUUUGGACGAGGGGCCCCUCUCGGGUUACCGAAUUCAGACAAACUCCGAAUGCCAAUUAAUUUAACUUGGGAGUCAGAACAUGGGUGAUAAGGUCCGUGUUCGAAAGGGAAACAGCCCAGACCACCAGCUAAGGUCCCAAAAUAUAUGUUAAGUGGAAAAGGAUGUGGCGUUGCCCAGACAACUAGGAUGUUGGCUUAGAAGCAGCCAUCAUUUAAAGAGUGCGUAAUAGCUCACUAGUCGAGUGACACUGCGCCGAAAAUGUACCGGGGCUAAACAUAUUACCGAAGCUGUGGAUUGUCCUUUGGACAAUGGUAGGAGAGCGUUCUAAGGGCGUUGAAGCAUGAUCGUAAGGACAUGUGGAGCGCUUAGAAGUGAGAAUGCCGGUGUGAGUAGCGAAAGACGGGUGAGAAUCCCGUCCACCGAUUGACUAAGGUUUCCAGAGGAAGGCUCGUCCGCUCUGGGUUAGUCGGGUCCUAAGCUGAGGCCGACAGGCGUAGGCGAUGGAUAACAGGUUGAUAUUCCUGUACCACCUAUAAUCGUUUUAAUCGAUGGGGGGACGCAGUAGGAUAGGCGAAGCGUGCGAUUGGAUUGCACGUCUAAGCAGUAAGGCUGAGUAUUAGGCAAAUCCGGUACUCGUUAAGGCUGAGCUGUGAUGGGGAGAAGACAUUGUGUCUUCGAGUCGUUGAUUUCACACUGCCGAGAAAAGCCUCUAGAUAGAAAAUAUGUGCCCGUACCGCAAACCGACACAGGUAGUCAAGAUGAGAAUUCUAAGGUGAGCGAGCGAACUCUCGUUAAGGAACUCGGCAAAAUGACCCCGUAACUUCGGGAGAAGGGGUGCUCUUUAGGGUUAACGCCCAGAAGAGCCGCAGUGAAUAGGCCCAAGCGACUGUUUAUCAAAAACACAGGUCUCUGCUAAACCGUAAGGUGAUGUAUAGGGGCUGACGCCUGCCCGGUGCUGGAAGGUUAAGAGGAGUGGUUAGCUUCUGCGAAGCUACGAAUCGAAGCCCCAGUAAACGGCGGCCGUAACUAUAACGGUCCUAAGGUAGCGAAAUUCCUUGUCGGGUAAGUUCCGACCCGCACGAAAGGCGUAACGAUUUGGGCACUGUCUCAACGAGAGACUCGGUGAAAUCAUAGUACCUGUGAAGAUGCAGGUUACCCGCGACAGGACGGAAAGACCCCGUGGAGCUUUACUGUAGCCUGAUAUUGAAAUUCGGCACAGCUUGUACAGGAUAGGUAGGAGCCUUUGAAACGUGAGCGCUAGCUUACGUGGAGGCGCUGGUGGGAUACUACCCUAGCUGUGUUGGCUUUCUAACCCGCACCACUUAUCGUGGUGGGAGACAGUGUCAGGCGGGCAGUUUGACUGGGGCGGUCGCCUCCUAAAAGGUAACGGAGGCGCUCAAAGGUUCCCUCAGAAUGGUUGGAAAUCAUUCAUAGAGUGUAAAGGCAUAAGGGAGCUUGACUGCGAGACCUACAAGUCGAGCAGGGUCGAAAGACGGACUUAGUGAUCCGGUGGUUCCGCAUGGAAGGGCCAUCGCUCAACGGAUAAAAGCUACCCCGGGGAUAACAGGCUUAUCUCCCCCAAGAGUUCACAUCGACGGGGAGGUUUGGCACCUCGAUGUCGGCUCAUCGCAUCCUGGGGCUGUAGUCGGUCCCAAGGGUUGGGCUGUUCGCCCAUUAAAGCGGUACGCGAGCUGGGUUCAGAACGUCGUGAGACAGUUCGGUCCCUAUCCGUCGUGGGCGUAGGAAAUUUGAGAGGAGCUGUCCUUAGUACGAGAGGACCGGGAUGGACAUACCUCUGGUGUACCAGUUGUCGUGCCAACGGCAUAGCUGGGUAGCUAUGUGUGGACGGGAUAAGUGCUGAAAGCAUCUAAGCAUGAAGCCCCCCUCAAGAUGAGAUUUCCCAACUUCGGUUAUAAGAUCCCUCAAAGAUGAUGAGGUUAAUAGGUUCGAGGUGGAAGCAUGGUGACAUGUGGAGCUGACGAAUACUAAUCGAUCGAAGACUUAAUCAA
rnacentral:rRNA from 1 species